rnacentral:tRNA from 1 species
CAGGUGUAGUUUAAUGGUAGAACCUUAGCCUUCCAAGCUAAUGACGUGGGUUCGAUUCCCAUCACCUG